rnacentral:rRNA from 1 species
GACGAACGCUGGCGGCGUGCUUAACACAUGCAAGUCGAACGGAAAGGCCCUGCUUUUGUGGGGUGCUCGAGUGGCGAACGGGUGAGUAACACGUGAGUAACCUGCCCUUGACUUUGGGAUAACUUCAGGAAACUGGGGCUAAUACCGGAUAGGAGCUCCUGCUGCAUGGUGGGGGUUGGAAAGUUUCGGCGGUUGGGGAUGGACUCGCGGCUUAUCAGCUUGUUGGUGGGGUAGUGGCUUACCAAGGCUUUGACGGGUAGCCGGCCUGAGAGGGUGACCGGCCACAUUGGGACUGAGAUACGGCCCAGACUCCUACGGGAGGCAGCAGUGGGGAAUAUUGCACAAUGGGCGGAAGCCUGAUGCAGCAACGCCGCGUGCGGGAUGACGGCCUUCGGGUUGUAAACCGCUUUCGCCUGUGACGAAGCGUGAGUGACGGUAAUGGGUAAAGAAGCACCGGCUAACUACGUGCCAGCAGCCGCGGUGAUACGUAGGGUGCGAGCGUUGUCCGGAUUUAUUGGGCGUAAAGGGCUCGUAGGUGGUUGAUCGCGUCGGAAGUGUAAUCUUGGGGCUUAACCCUGAGCGUGCUUUCGAUACGGGUUGACUUGAGGAAGGUAGGGGAGAAUGGAAUUCCUGGUGGAGCGGUGGAAUGCGCAGAUAUCAGGAGGAACACCAGUGGCGAAGGCGGUUCUCUGGGCCUUUCCUGACGCUGAGGAGCGAAAGCGUGGGGAGCGAACAGGCUUAGAUACCCUGGUAGUCCACGCUGUAAACGGUGGGUACUAGGUGUGGGGUCCAUUCCACGGGUUCCGUGCCGUAGCUAACGCUUUAGGUACCCCGCCUGGGGAGUACGGCCGCAAGGCUAAAACUCAAAGGAAUUGACGGGGCCCCGCACAAGCGGCGGAGCAUGCGGAUUAAUUCGAUGCAACGCGUAGAACCUUACCUGGGUUUGACAUGGAUCGGGAGUGCUCAGAGAUGGGUGUGCCUCUUUUGGGGUCGGUUCACAGGUGGUGCAUGGCUGUCGUCAGCUCGUGUCGUGAGAUGUUGGGUUAAGUCCCGCAACGAGCGCAACCCUUGUUCACUGUCGCCAGCACGUUAUGGUGGGGACUCAGUGGAGACCGCCGGGGUCAACUCGGAGGAAGGUGGGGAUGACGUCAAGUCAUCAUGCCCCUUAUGUCCAGGGCUUCACGCAUGCUACAAUGGCUGGUACAGAGAGUGGCGAGCCUGUGAGGGUGAGCGAAUCUCGGAAAGCCGGUCUCAGUUCGGAUUGGGGUCUGCAACUCGACCUCAUGAAGUCGGAGUCGCUAGUAAUCGCAGAUCAGCAACGCUGCGGUGAAUACGUUCCCGGG